rnacentral:lncRNA from 1 species
GCCUGUGUGUGUGCAUGUGUGUGCAGAAGAGGAGCUGAGGAGGGUUAGCCCUGUGCCCAGGACAGCAGGUGCAGAGGCUGAACUCGGGCGGGGGCAGCUCCUCCUAGCUGCUUGAUGGGUGGAUCUCCACUCCAGCUGGGUCUGCUGGCCAACUUUCUGCAAGCUGUGGCUUCUCUGAGGUUCUGGGCUCCACUGCUGCACAGCCAGCUGCACAGUGCCUUGUGGUGGCAGCCCCAGGUCGUUGCUGCAGUUGCUUUCCAUCCUGUGAUCUGGGGAUCCAGACAAGUGGUGUGGGGAGGUUCUGCGCCACUCCGUGUGCCCGGGGCCUCAGCUGGGAGGACUGGAGUGGCUGAGCCGCCCUGGGACAGUGGGCACUGCUGAGCCGCCACUGAGCAAGACAACAGUGAGGUACAAUCUUCUGCGUGACACUGGCCAUCACCAUGGUAACAACCUGAUUGCAGCUGGCUCACUGUUGCCCUGGACCCAGACUGAGAAGCAUCAGAGAAGAGGACAUGGAGGAGAAGGCAGCAUGGAAGGGUCCCUGGGCAAGGGCUUUGUGUAUGAGAAGAAGCAGGCAGAAGACCUGAAUGAACAAGUACCUUCGUGCUGUCUAUGUUUGCGUGUCUAGUCUGCCGAUCUACACACGCGCCUGGAAAGCAGCUCUGGAUGGAUCCCACCCGCCUUACCCUCCCCCUCUUCCCUUUCUCAGCCAGUGGCACUGCUGGCCCACCUCGCUGCUCCACCCAGGGCCCCGGCAUCCACUCCUACCUUGCUGAGCCUGUCACCAUCCCUCUCCCCCAGGUUUCUGCAGCUUCCCGGGCUGCAUUUCUUCCUGUACCUCUGUGUAGCUCCCUUUCAUUUCACCCCAAGACCCUCCCCGAGCUUCUUCAGCCUCUCUUGAGCUUCUCUGGAACAUGGUCUUCAAGCUCCUUCAACGCUCACGACCUUUCUGCCCUUUGGCUCAGAAUGCUCCCUCUGCCCCUUCAUGUGGCUGGCCAUCAUCUUGGAAUCCUCAGCUGACAUGCUACUUCAGAGGGACUUUCUCCAUCAACUGCCCUCUUCCAGGCUGAGUCCCUGGGUUCAUUUCUGACAUAACAGCCCAUUUGUUCUUCAAAACAUUUACUGUAAUAGGCAAUAUGAGAUAUUUUCUUUAUUGUUCAUGAUAAAAAAUUUCUGCCUAGAAUCUUGUACCUACAAGAGCAGGCAUUUUGUCUUGAUUAUUAUUGAUUAUUGGCAUCCAUAGCUGCUGUCUAAAUACUAGUUUAAUAAAUGAGUGACCUCCUGUGAUUGCUGCAAACAUCUGGACCCAGAGUCAACAUAACAUGAAAACAAUCUGCUGGCACAAGACUGGUAUUCAGUGAGUAAUGGGAAAAGAUGGGUGGGCACAGGCAGCAGGGUUACAGCGUGCUCUGUUUUCCUUCCCCUGGGAAGUGGC